GGAGUCAACAACCAGCGGGGUCAGGAGCAGGAGCGCGCUGGGAAGGUAGAGAGGACCCCCAGCGCUUGCCGGCCCAGGGUGCACCAGGCCCCAGUCGCGCCCGCUCCUCCUCGUCGGCCCUGGCUCAGCCCCGUCAGGCACCAACUUCCCUCCCCGGCCAAGUGGGAGUGUCCGGCCCACAAAGUUUCCGCUGCGAGGUCGGGCCUCGGUCUCUGCACCGACCGCCUGUGCUGCCCGGGAGGAGUGGCCCCCUCCCUCCAGCAGCCGCAAGGUGGAACGGCUGCCCGGCACCCCAUUUUGCUCCGCCUGUGGCACCAACCCAGACACGUGAGCGCCCGAGCCUCUCGCACCCCCAGGCUGAUCCGGCAGGCGCGCUCCCCCCGGCCUCGGGCCCGCGGUUACCUUGGCGGCCGCCAUGAUUCGCCCCGGUUGCGGGCGACUGCGGGACCCACUGACUGGCUGGCUGGCGUUUGGGACCCGGGCGGCUCACUUCUAGUCCCGGCGGCGGCGGCGGUGGGGGCGGCGAUACGGCCAGGCAGCGUGCGUUCCUGGCCUGCCUCCCCACGCCCUCCCGCCGGCGCGGGUCAUGUGGAUGCUGCCCGCCCAUUGGCUGGGCCCAGCCUUGGCCGCCGGGGUGCGCGUGAUCCAGCGGCCUCUGCCCUGCAGCCGGGGAGGGCUCAGAUCCUGGGGCAGUGGCUGGACAGGGACACGUGACCCCGCUGCGCUGUCCAGCAGCGGCGGCCUCUGCGGCGUGGGCAGAGGUAACUUGGCCGUGUGCAAGCCCGUCACCUGAGGGCAGGUGGCCCCACCAGGGAAGCUGCUGGCUUCUGCUGAUACCAGGGGCUACUGGGCCCUCGGACCGAUGGGAGGGGCAAGUAACGACAGAUGGUGCACGGCCUGGGGAAGUUGAGAACUCCACUAGGACACAUACUUUGCUGGAUAUUUUUUCCCCUGUGCGUUCCCUUUGAAGGAGCUCCACUUUACACUGGAUCCAAAAAGACUUUGAUCCAAAAGCAUUGACUUAGAAGGCGAGAUUGCAAAUAUUGCUGGCACGCCUACUUUUAGAUCAAAAUCGGUGAACUCUUAAGAACCCAACAAGUGAAUGUAGUGCAGAACGUAUAUUCAUGAAACUACUCCAUUUCAGCCCUACCUGUUAAAACGGUAGAAGUCAAAAGGCCCGGGUCAAAAGACUUCCCCCAAAUAGGCCCUACUAAAAUAAAUAAACAAGCAUUUUAAUGAAAAUUUGCUUAUAUGACCUCCAGGCCUUACUCCUCUUCAUCAGGAUUUCAUUCUUCUGUCCUUGUAAUCAAAAUUUAUAAGACAGUGGUGAUCAGGGAAAAGGACUUUUAAUGUAUUGUAGGUUGUGGAUGUAAUAUGGCAGCAAAAAGCACUUAUUACUAAUCAGUUUAAUUCAUUAACGUUGAUUGAGUGCCUUCCUACUAUGUGCUAGGCACUGUGCUUGGUGCUGGAAACCCCGAAAUGACUUAAGAACUGGUUCCAACCGUUAAACAGCUUCAGGGCUAUUGGGAAAGAGACACAUAAAUGUUUACUUCAGUAUAACCUGUUAAGGCAGCAGACUGUUCCCAGGGCUCAAUAAGAAUACUGAGAAUUCUCAUGCCACUAUGAAGAAAUACCUGAGACUGGGUAAUUUAUAAACCAAAAGAUUUAAUUGACUCAGUUUCGCAUGGUUUGGGAGACCUCAGGAAACUUACAGUUGUGGUGGAAGGCACCUCUUUACAGGGUUGCAGGAGAGAGAAUGAGUGCCAAGCAAAGGGGGGAAAGCCCCUUGUAAAACCAUCAGAUCUCAUAAGAACUCACUAUCACAAGAACAGCAUGGGAGUAACCGCCCCCAUGAUUCCGUUGUCUCUCACCGGGUCCUUCCCAUGACAUGUGGGGAUUAUGGGAACUACAAUUUAAGAUGAGAUUUGGGUAGUGACACGGUCAAACCAUAUCAAAAGGUAACUUGAUCUUGAGCUAUGGGAUUGGGGCAGUGGCACGACUAGUGGAAGGAGUCUGGCCCAGCAGGUAGGGGCUGUGUCAUGGUGGGUCUUAGGCGCCUUGCUGAAGGGUAUGCACCUUAACUGAAGGGUUUUAAGUCAGGAAGCAGCAUGACUAGGUUUUCGAUAUAGAAAGAUCUCUCUAUGGUCUGAAUGUGCCCCCCAAAAUUGAUGUGUUGGAUACAAUCUCUAAUGCAUCAGUGUUGGAAGGUUGGG
rnacentral:lncRNA from 1 species